rnacentral:rRNA from 1 species
UACGGGGGGGGCAAGCGUUGUUCGGAAUUACUGGGCGUAAAGGGCGCGUAGGCGGGAUGGCAAGUCGGUCGUGAAAUCCCUCGGCUCAACCGAGGAACGUCGAUCGAUACUGCUGUUCUUGAGGAUUGCAGAGGAGACUGGAAUUCCCGGUGUAGCGGUGAAAUGUGUAGAGAUCGGGAGGAACACCGGUGGCGAAGGCGGGUCUCUGGGCAAUUCCUGACGGCUGAGGCGCGAAAGCGUGGGGAGCAAACGGG